CUACUUAUGAAUACCGUUUUUUUUCGUUUCUUUUUUUUCUUUAGCCUCUAAACAAUUGAGGCUUUUGCGCAUGAGAUAAGAAACGAAAAAACGCGCGAAAAGCCUCCAUUAAGGAGGCUUUGUCGUU
rfam:Bacteria symbiont BFo2 of Frankliniella occidentalis strain BFo2 contig425, whole genome shotgun sequence.